UACGAAGGGGGCUAGCGUUGUUCGGAAUUACUGGGCGUAAAGCGCACGUAGGCGGAUUGUUAAGUUAGGGGUGAAAUCCCAGGGCUCAACCCUGGAACUGCCUUUAAUACUGGCAAUCUCGAGUCCGAGAGAGGUGAGUGGAAUCCCGAGUGUAGAGGUGAAAUUCGUAGAUAUUCGGAGGAACACCAGUGGCGAAGGCGGCUCACUGGCUCGGUACUGACGCUGAGGUGCGAAAGCGUGGGGAGCAAACAGG
rnacentral:rRNA from 1 species